CCUACGGGCGGCAGCAGUGAGGAAUAUUGGUCAAUGGACGAGAGUCUGAACCAGUCAAGUAGCGUGAAGGAUGACUGCCCUAUGGGUUGUAAACUUCUUUUAUAUGGGAAUAAAAUGUUCCACGUGUGGGAUUUUGUAUGUAUCAUAUGAAUAAGGAUCCGCCAACUCCGUGCCAGCAGCCGCGGUAAUACGGAGGAACCGAGCGUUAUCCGGAUUUAUUGGGUUUAAAGGGAGCGUAGGUGGAUUGUUAAGUCAGUUGUGAAAGUUUGCGGCUCAACCGUAAAAUUGCAGUUGAAACUGGCAGUCUUGAGUGCAGGAGAGGUAGGCGGAAUUCGUGGUGUAGCGGUGAAAUGCUUAGAUAUCACGAAGAACUCCGAUUGCGAAGGCAGUUCACUGGACUGCAACUGACACUGAGGCUCGAAAGUGUGGGUAUCAAACAGGAUUAGAUACCCGUGUAGUC
rnacentral:rRNA from 1 species